UAGGACUCUAUAUACCUUUUGCAGUUUCAUGCCGAACAACUGAAAUGGGUUCUCUCUUCUCCAUCAGGUUUCUUAUUGUCCUUGCCCUAGUGCCUUCCAUCCUCAUAUUUGUGCAUGCAGCUGAGAGUCAAGCGGGUAAUUUAUUUCUUUAUUAGUUAACUUCUUUUUUCAUAUAUUACGCAUGCUUAGCAUAGAUGUCUCAAGACAAAAGAACUUUUAACGAAAAAUUAUUUUCUUUUCUUUUCCUUUCAUUUUUUCACACUGUGUUCAGUUGCAAAUAUUUCCUUAGGAUAAAUAAAGUUUUUUUUUAUUUAUUUACUUAAGAUGCUAAAGAAAGUUGAUCUGCCUGACCAGUAGAAAAUCCUACUGCUGCUACUCUAAUAGGGGAGUAAUAGUAUACCUGAGUUACUUUGGUCGAGCGCGUGGAAAUAGCAGAUCUUGUGCUAUUAUCGCGUGGAACUUCAAGCGUUUUGAAGUUAUAUAUUAAAGUUAUAUACAACACUUCGUAUAAAUUAUUUUAAGCUCGAUUUAAUAAAAAAUUUAUUUAAUGUGAUACGUUUUUUUAAACAAAUUAAGCACAUAUUAGAUAGAUUUUAACUUAUUAAUUUGUUGGUGAGCUAAUUAAUAUACUCGUGUUAUAAUAUUAAUAAUUUGAGUGUAAUUUAAAAACUUUAUUAUAAAUAUAUGUGAAAGGCAGAAAAAAUAAAGAAAAAGUCCUUAAACUAAUUAGGGAUAGGUAAUUAAGCUCCUAUUAUUUAAAUUGGCUCAAUUCCACCCUUUACUUUUUUAAAAUGGGCUCAAUUUUAAUCCAAUUUGUUAACUUGGUUAACUCUUCUGUUAGUAAUGGAGCCCAUUAAAAUUAAAGCCAGAAUAACAUACUGACACGUAGAAAUAAUUUUUCUAAUUUUAUAUUUAAAUAUAAAUAAUUAAAAAUCAAAAUAUUAUCUUAAAAUUCUAAAAAGAUUACACUCAAUAAUAAUUGAUAAUGCUACCAACUCACCGUCCUCCACCACCGCCUUGCCUCCAUCGCCACCCAUCGAUCAAAACCGUAAAAUGGCCUCCAUCAAACCAAUANNNNNNNNNNNNNNNNNNNNNNNNNNNCUUCUGACCAAUUUAGCUAACAACUUUGACAAAAGUGGUCAAGUCGCCCAGGCAAAGCUGAUAUAAAAAAGUUCAAUUUGAUUCUUAAACUUUAUACUAAGUAUCAGAUUUUGUAAAAAUAAUUUCCGAUUGAGUUAGAAUAAAAUUAUUUAAUUUUAACAUAAUUUACUUUUAUUAUCUGAUAAAAUAAUAUUUCUAAUUAAAAAAUUCAAAUUAAAUAAUAUUACCAAAGUAAUAUAAAAUUAUGCUUUUAUUUAAUUUAAUAUUGCUAAAGCUUAUUUGAAAAUAUUCUUUAAUUUCUUAAGUUAUUUAUAUGAUUUUUAUAAAUAUUAUUAAUUAUCACAUAAAAAUUAUUACUUAAAUAAAACAAUAUAGAAUAAUACUGUAAUAUAUUUUACCUCCAAGAAUUUAAUGCGAUGCAACUAUUAGUUAAAGUUAAUUUAGAAUUUUAAAAUAAAAAUGUUAUCUAAUUAUUUUUAUUAAAUAAUAAGAGUAAAUUGCAUUAAAAUCGAAUAGUUUUACUUUAACUCAAUAAAAAUUCAUUUUAUAUAAUUUGACAUUUAAUAUGAAGUUUAAGGAUCAAAUUGAACUUUUUGUAUUGAGUAAGUCCUUUGAUUGGAUUCAAUUGAUCACUUUGCCAAGUUUUUAGGUAAAUUAGCCUGAAAAUUAAAAUCUGAGCUAAUUGCCCAUUAGUUUCAAAUUCAAGGGACAAAUUUGCAAUUUUGCCAGGAAAAAGAAACCACAAGGCAUCUACUUAUAUGACAUUCAUCGCUCGUAGAGCUAUCAAAACCAAUAAAAGAAAAAAAGCACAAGCCUGUUCAUCGCAUGCCACCCUCAUCACUUGAUAUUCAUCGCUUAUCAUCCUCAUCAACUAACAUUCAUCACUUGCCAUCCUCAUCACCUGACGUUCAUCGCUUGUUGUUCUCAUCACCUUAUAUUCAUCGCUUGUUGUUCUCAUCACCUGACGCCCAUCACCUGCCAUCCUCAUUGCUUGUCGUCCACAUUACUCUUCUUCGUUGGCAAUAGUGGAUUUUUGUUGGUGGAGGUGGUGGUUACUGGUAGGUGGUCGUAAUUUUGUCAUUGGUGGCGAUGGAAAAGGUGAUAGUGGUGGUUGGGUGGGGGAGUUAGCGAUAGGGAUAGGAUUAAAUUUAUAAUUUAUUCAAAUUCAUUAUUUAGUUUUUUCUUUUACAUAAUUUUUAACGUAAAAGAAGAAAAACAUAUGUGCUAACAUGAAUGUGUUAUAUUUUAAGUGAUUCCACUACUACCAGAAAUUAUAUUCUAUUAACAAUUUGACUUAUUUGGACCUUGUAUGAAAAUUAAAAGGUGAAAUUGAAACAAUAUGAAGAAUAAGGGCCUAAUUGUCUAUCUCCAAUUAAUUCAAAAGGUUUUUCUUGCACCUUCUGCCAAUAUAGAAAAGGGGUAAUUAUUAUUUACAUCAUGUAUUUGUCUAUAUUAUACUAGUUACCUCUUGACAUUUAAAAAAUAUAUUUUUGUAUCCUUCUACUUUCCAAUUUUAUACUAAAACCCCAUUUCAUCAGAAUUUCCGUUAAACAACCGUUAAUUAGGUUUGGUUUUAUACUAUUUACCCUUUAAUCUUUGGUGUAAUAUACAAAUUGCCCCUUAUAAUUUAUUUAUUAUACUAAAACCUCGUCUAAUUUUUAUACAAAAAUCAAUUUUUAAAUUCACUACAAAAAUAAUUAAUUAGUGUUAUUUAAUUACUCUAAUUUUUAGCAUAAUCAAAUUUUAACAAAAUUUAAAUAUUUUAAAAGUACUUAUAUUAAUUAAAAUAUUAAAAAUUCAUAUAAUUUAACUUUAAAUUGUUAAAAUAAAUUAGAUAGUAUUAUUAUUAUUAUUAAUUUUAUUACAAUAAGAUUGUAACUUUGAUAAAAAGUUUGAGGAUUAAAUUAUAUUCUUUUAUUAAUUUAGAUCCUUAUUUAUAUUGAUUUUCAAAACGCAAAAAGAUUUUAGAAAAAUAAAUAACAUAUAAGGGGUAAUUUGUACAUUACACAUAAAAAUCAGGAAGCAAAUAAUAUAAAAUCAAACCUAAUUAACAAUUUCCUAACAUAAAUUCUAAUAAAAAAGAUUUUUAGUAUAAAAUUGCAAAAUAGAAAAAUAAAAAAAUAUAUUUUUUAAAUAUUAAUGGAUAACUAGUAUAAUUUGAAAACACACGGGAUAAAUAAUAAUUACCUCUAUAAAAAAUCAUAUUUAGACUUACUUGCUAGAAUAUAUUUAUAAGAAUUAAUAAAUAUAUGAUAAUCCUUAUAAUAGAUUAAAAUGUUUUGCUGAAUUGACUAAAAAUUUGAUUUUUAUUCUGUUUGUACUGAGCUCUUUAGGCUCGAUCAAAGACAAAAAGAUUUAAUAAAUUUAGCUCACCACUCAUUUCAAUAAUGAACAAAUCAAACUCAAACUAAUGAAAAUCCAACUCAGCUUGAUACAGUUAAACCCUAGUAUUCCUUUAAAAAUAUAAACUUACUGAAAUACAUAAUUCAAUUCAAUUUCGAUUAAACUCCUAAGACUAAUUGGUGUCUCAGUAGCAUUUUUGUCUAAAUAAUAUAGUUUUAUUGACUUUUUUUUUUUUUUUUUUUGCAAAAGUGAAGUCGAGGAGAGAACUUGGCAGCAAACCCUUGCCAAGCCCACCCCCUCCUCCAAUUCCUCACAAGUGGAAAAAUCAGAUUGCACUGCAGCCGCCGCCGCCUGCUCCAGCACGUAACAGAUUUCUAUAGUCUAUAGAUUAGCAUUUGCAAUAAGACUUAUGCUAUGUUUAGUUGAAAUCUAUAAAAAAGUUAAAUUUAUUUUAUUUGAGAAAAAGAUAGGAAAGAAAAUAAAAUAAAAAUAAUAAAGUUAAAAAAAAUAUUUUAGUAUUAUAAAAUUCAUUGUCUUACUAAUUUAGAAUUCAUUUGAAAAUUCUACAUUAUUUAAUUUAGUUAUACUCAAUUCCACAUAACUUUAAUUAUGUAGAAUGCUAAACUGAUUUUUAUUCCAUUUAAAGUAUAUAAAUUUUAGAUUAUCAAAUGAAUUCCGUAAAUUUUAUAGAUUUCGAUCUAUUGAAAAACACAUUACAGAUAUUACCAUUUUAAUAUGGAGGUAUGGUAACAUGAAAGAAAGGAAGUGCAUUUCCAGUCUAUGAAAGAAAGGAAGCAAGCGCAUACGAAGAGCUCUAUGGAGCUCGGGUGAGGGCGCAUGUUCGAGCCCCCAACUUUCUACUACCCAUGAUAAAAGAAAAGGAGAAAGAAAGGAAGUGCAUGUAUAUGAAUGAGUGUGUUUCAUAUGUAAAGAACGGCUGGCUACUAUAGAACAACGAAUAUA
rnacentral:lncRNA from 1 species